UGCUUUCGUAAGAUGCCUCACUUAAAAGCUAUCCUUAGAAUUGCGAACACGGUUUAUUCUCUUUUUUUCCUUUAAAAUUAGAGCAUUCCUUAUUUUAACAUGAGCUUUGGGACUUGUUGAUUCGCCUUCAGAGUGCGGUCGAUUAUUGUUCGAAUAAAGCUCGUGAACUAGCAUUAAACUCUUACAUGGACAAUAUCCCUCGGCGAACGCAAUUAAAUUCUCGCAUUUUCCUGGGGCAUUUAUAACAAAGAAAGUUGCGCGUGCUCAUUUUCUCCUGCCACAACAAUCACUGCGGCUUUUAGAAUUCGACUAUGAGCAACAAGGAACGCUUUGUGUUUGAUGACAAUCGCAGUUAUUCUCGAAGAAUACUGGCCAGCCAAUAAUUUGAAAGUAAUGCCCAAGCAUUAGGACUAUAUAUAAGGUGCCUGUUGAAGCCCGUCUUUGACACGUCGCCUAAGCUGGAAAGCUGACUGGUCUCUUUGCUCGGAAGCAAGACAUUCCAAGCAGCCUUCACCAUGUCUGGAAUGAGUUCGUGCCAGAAGAGAUCCAGUGGCUUUCGCUACGCCGCCUGCCUUUUUGUGAUCGCGUUCGUAGCUUUCCAGCUCUGUGACAGCGCUCUCGCCUAUGACGACAGCUACAACAACGCCAAUAAUAACGCAGACUCCGAUGCAAAUGCGAACGCCGAUCACCCCUACAAUGCGAACUCCAACAAAGCCACUGCAUCCCCUGGAAAGCACUAUGCAGGCGACCACAAGUAACAUUACUGAUCGCUGACGCCUCUCGAGGCACGGUGUAGCAGCGCAUCUGGAAUAAAGCACGUAAUUCGGCAGCA